rnacentral:rRNA from 1 species
GAUUAAUUCGAUGCAACGCGAAGAACCUUACCAAGGCUUGACAUAUACGAGAACGGGCCAGAAAUGGUCAACUCUUUGGACACUCGUAAACAGGUGGUGCAUGGUUGUCGUCAGCUCGUGUCGUGAGAUGUUGGGUUAAGUCCCGCAACGAGCGCAACCCUCGUUCUAUGUUGCCAGCACGUAAUGGUGGGAACUCAUGGGAUACUGCCGGGGUCAACUCGGAGGAAGGUGGGGAUGACGUCAAAUCAUCAUGCCCCUUAUGUCUUGGGCUUCACGCAUGCUACAAUGGCCGGUACAAAGGGCUGCAAUACCGCGAGGUGGAGCGAAUCCCAAAAAGCCGGUCCCAGUUCGGAUUGAGGUCUGCAACUCGACCUCAUGAAGUCGGAGUCGCUAGUAAUCGCAGAUCAGCAACGCUGCGGUGAAUACGUUCCCGGGUCUUGUACACACCGCCCGUCAAGUCAUGAAAGUCGGUAACACCUGAAGCCGGUGGCCUAACCCUUGUGGAGGGAGCCGUCGAAGGUGGGAUCGGUAAUUAGGACUAAGUC